ACCCUUCAUCGCUUCUACACGACGGGUUGCAUUUCUCCGCCGCAACAGUACAGAGUGGACAGUGGCUGGAAAUGGCGGUGUGUGGUGGUGGUAGACCUGUUGCAUUUGGGAUUUCACUGAGAGAAUAAGAAGGAAUCGACGAUGGACUGCUACGCAACUAUUGCACCUGUCAAGGAUGUCUGUGUGCCGGUUUGUGCACAAUUUCUCAGCCAGCGGGCCUGAGAAAGUGUGCCACAGCAGUCUGUGUAGUGGUGCUCUUUGUUCUGGAAGGACGCAAGCAUUGCUGAGGAGCCAGUUGACCUGCCGCCACACUAAUAUUGUAUUUGUCAAAGCCGAAGGACUCUGCAAGCAGCCAGUCAUUCCAAGUCUCAACCAAUCCUUCCUCUAGUCAGCCAAUUUCUAGUGUCUAUGCGGAAAGGACUUGCGCAAAACUGGACACGGGACACUAAAAAGGCGACAAGGACAGGCGUAAACUUCCAACCGGUGUUCAUUACAAAAAGGUAUGUAU